rnacentral:rRNA from 1 species
AUUGAACGCUGGCGGCAUGCCUUACACAUGCAAGUCGAACGGUAACAGGCCGCAAGGUGCUGACGAGUGGCGAACGGGUGAGUAAUGUAUCGGAACGUGCCCAGUCGUGGGGGAUAACUGCUCGAAAGAGCAGCUAAUACCGCAUACGACCUGAGGGAGAAAGCGGGGGACCGUAAGGCCUCGCGCGAUUGGAGCGGCCGAUAUCAGAUUAGGUAGUUGGUGAGGUAAGGCCUACCAAGGCGACGAUCUAUAGCGGGUCUGAGAGGAUGAUCCGCCACACUGGGACUGAGACACGGCCCAGACUCCUACGGGAGGCAGCAGUGGGGAAUAUUGGACAAUGGGCGGAAGCCUGAUCCAGCCAUGCCGCGUGUGUGAAGAAGGCCUUUUGGUUGUAAAGCACUAUAAGCGAGGAGGAGGCUACCUGGAUUAAUACUCUAGGAUAGUGGACGUUACUCGCAGAAUAAGCACCGGCUAACUCUGUGCCAGCCGCCGCUGUAAAAC